rnacentral:lncRNA from 1 species
CUGUAUUUCAAACAAGAAACUUUAGCACAAUAAGCUAGAGCAACAUCAGUAACAGAUAUUUCCCUCCUCAUCAUGAGGGUCAUCAGUACCCCAGGAGGUCUCUUCAUCCUUCCCUAAGGGGUCAAGCUCAUCUCUCUGCUCCAGCAGUCAUGUCCUUACUAAAGCAUGUGUGUUACUAUCAAAUUAUGAGCUGCACAAGGAUGUCUUGAUCUUGUUUAUCUUCAUAAAGCCUUUCACAUAUUAAUAAUGUCUGACAGAUAUUUUUUAAAUUGCAUCUUGUGUUUAGCAAUUCUCUUCCAUUCAGUGUCCAAAGUAUGAGCAUAAAUCGCAUAUCAGAGAGACAUCUUUUAGUUAUUAACUGUAGAAAAUGACUUUUUCACAAAAAUGAAUUAGAACAAAGGGAAGUUUUAGACUUUCCAACUCUUUGAUACUA